rnacentral:rRNA from 1 species
CGGUUGAUCCUGCCGGGGACCACUGCUAUUGGGAUUCGAAUAAGACAUGCGAGUUGAGCGUCUCUAAAGCUAUGGUAGAGACGCAGCGUACGGCUCAGUAACACGUGGCCAACCUACCCUUAGGACGGGGAUAACCCCGGGAAACUGGGGCUAAUACCCGAUAGGUGAGGAAGCCUGGAAUGGUUCCUCACCGAAAAGGCGUUGAAACCAUGCUUUUCAACGUCGCCUAAGGAUGGGGCCGCGUCCGAUCAGGUUGUUGGUGAGGUAACGGCUCACCAAGCCUAUGACCGGUACGGGCCGUGAGAGCGGGAGCCCGGAGAUGGGCCCUGAGACAAGGGCCCAGGCCCUACAGGGCGCAGCAGUCGCGAAAACUUCACAAUGUGGGAAACCACGAUGAGGGAAUUCCAAGUGCCAACACAUUGUGUUGGCUGUACCUCUGCCUAAAAAGCAGGUGAAGUAAGGGCCGGGUAAGACGGGUGCCAGCCGCCGCGGUAAUACCCGCGGCCCGAGUGGUGGUCGUUAUUAUUGAGCCUAAAGCGUCCGUAGCCGGUUUAGUAAAUCUCUGGGUAAAUCGGGCGGCUUAACCGUCCGAAUUCCGGAGAGACUGCUAAACUUGGGACCGGGGGAGGUUGGAGGUACUCCUAGGGUAGGGGUGAAAUCCUGUAAUCCUAGGGGGACCACCAGUGGCGAAGGCGUCCAACCAAAACGGCUCCGACGGUGAGGGACGAAGCCUUGGGGCGCAAACGGGAUUAGAUACCCCGGUAGUCCAAGGUGUAAACGCUGCAGGUUUGGUGUUGGGCGUCCCACGAGGGCGCCCAGUGCCGGAGAGAAGUUGUUAAACCUGCCGCUUGGGGAGUACGUCCGCAAGGAUGAAACUUAAAGGAAUUGGCGGGGGAGCAC